rnacentral:rRNA from 1 species
CCCUGUGUGGGGACAACCCGGGGAAACCCGGGCUAAUACCGCAUGGGCAGGCACUUCACAGGAAGAGCCUGGGAAAGAGGCCCUCUUUACAAUGGUCUCAUGCAGGGAGGAGCUCGCGGGCUAUCAGCUAGUUGGUGAGGUAACGGCUCACCAAGGCUUCGACGGCUACGGGGUCUGAGAGGACGACCCCGCACAUUGGAACUGAGACACGGUCCAG